UUUAUUGGAGAGUUUGAUCCUGGCUCAGGAUGAACGCUGGCGGCGUGCCUAAUACAUGCAAGUCGAGCGAAUGGAUUAAGAGCUUGCUCUUAUGAAGUUAGCGGCGGACGGGUGAGUAACACGUGGGUAACCUGCCCAUAAGACUGGGAUAACUCCGGGAAACCGGGGCUAAUACCGGAUAACAUUUUGAACCGCAUGGUUCGAAAUUGAAAGGCGGCUUUGGCUGUCGCUUAUGGAUGGACCCGCGUCGCAUUAGCUAGUUGGUGAGGUAACGGCUC
rnacentral:rRNA from 1 species